CCGGUUCACAUCUGAUGGAGCCCCUUCACAACCUCAGCUGACUGCCUUCAAAGGAGGGUCCAUCUUGUUCCAAGAACGCUCCUUUCUGUGCCCCAGCCCUUCCUGGGCUUGAAUAUGCAAAGAUGGGUAGGAUUUGGGAUAGGGGCUGAGGAGGUUGACUUGUUCUGCCCAGGGGAGUAAGAAGAAUUUGGAGGGGUAAAUAAUAAUAUAAUAAUGAUAGCUAACAUUAUUAACACUCUGCUGACUGCUUCCCACAGAUUGCUUUAUGAAAUCCUCACCACCAAUCCUAUUUUGACUUUUAUCAUCCUCAUUUACAGAUGAAAUUGAGGUUCAGAGAGGUUAGGUAACUCUCCUGUGAUCACACAGCUGAUACUUCUCCCAGAGCUAGGCCAUCUGGAAGAAGGACUCUUGAAUUGAACUACUGCACCAUUUUGCCUCUUAAGGAAGAGAGAUGUAAAAAGGCAGAUGAAGAAAAGAGCCAGGACGAGGCUGGAGAACUGCGGGAGCUGAAAGCAGAUGAUUCUGAGGCCCUAGGGGAGGGUGCAGCCACGAGAAGGAGGGAGGCUGGAUCCCUGAAUCACCAUGUGGAAGGUCCAGCCACCAGCCAGGAACACCCGCCACGUGAACAAGAAGGAAACUCCACUGUGUCACUGAGACUGGGGGCGUGUUACAGCAGCUGGGGCUCACUAACGGCAUCGGAAAAUGGGUGCUGAACCAAGUCGGUCUACGAGCCUGGACACAGCAUUGCCCUGUCCUAGUCCUCAGAUUCUUUGGCUAUGUGACAUGGGAAGCUCCGAGAGACCCUUCCUUCUGGGGGAAAGGAACAUUUUAGCUGUACACACACGCGCACUCACGCAUAAACGCACGCUCCUGCACUGGGCGCUGUUUCUGUAAGAACAGGCCUGGAAUGCCUUUCUGGAUACUGUUUCUCCCAAGCACCCAAAUGAGGACAGCGUUCCGGAACUUGUUUCUAACAGACGUCAGUAUAACAAAAACACACGCUACAGACCAAUAAAAAUGUGAUGACCAACUCCAGUGAUAAAA